ensembl:snRNA U2 U2 spliceosomal RNA
UUCACUUCUCAGUCUUUUGGCUAAGAUCAAGUAUAGUAUUUGUUCUUACCUGUUUAAUUUCUCUCUCUGAUUAUUAAAUUACAAGCCCUA